AGUGAACGCUGGCGGUAGGCCUAACACAUGCAAGUCGAACGGCAGCACAGUAAGAGCUUGCUCUUACGGGUGGCGAGUGGCGGACGGGUGAGGAAUACAUCGGAAUCUACUUUUUCGUGGGGGAUAACGUAGGGAAACUUACGCUAAUACCGCAUACGACCUACGGGUGAAAGCAGGGGAUCUUCGGACCUUGCGCGAUUGAAUGAGCCGAUGUCGGAUUAGCUAGUUGGCGGGGUAAAGGCCCACCAAGGUGACGAUCCGUAGCUGGUCUGAGAGGAUGAUCAGCCACACUGGAACUGAGACACGGUCCAGACUCCUACGGGAGGCAGCAGUGGGGAAUAUUGGACAAUGGGCGCAAGCCUGAUCCAGCCAUACCGCGUGGGUGAAGAAGGCCUUCGGGUUGUAAAGCCCUUUUGUUGGGAAAGAAAAGCAGCAGGUUAAUACCCCGCUGUUCUGACGGUACCCAAAGAGUAAGCAUCGGCUAACUUCGUG
rnacentral:rRNA from 1 species